rnacentral:rRNA from 1 species
GAUGAACGCUGGCGGCGUGCCUAAUACAUGCAAGUCGAGCGAACAGACGAGUAGCUUGCUCCUCUGACGUUAGCGGCGGACGGGUGAGUAACACGUGGAUAACCUACCUAUAAGACUGGGAUAACUUCGGGAAACCGGAGCUAAUACUGGAUAAUAUAUUGAACCGCAUGGUUCAAUAGUGAAAGACGGUUUUGCUGUCACUUAUAGAUGGAUCCGCGCCGCAUUAGCUAGUUGGUAAGGUAACGGCUUACCAAGGCAACGAUGCGUAGCCGACCUGAGAGGGUGAUCGGCCACACUGGAACUGAGACAAGGUCCAGACUCCUACGAGAGGCAGCAGUAGGGAAUCUUCCGCAAUGGGCGAAAGCCUGACGGAGCAACGACGCGUGAGUGAUGAAGGUCUUCGGAUCGUAAAACUCUGUUAUUAGGGAAGAACAAAUGUGUAAGUAACUAUGCACGUCUUGACGGUACCUAAUCAGAAAGCCACGGCUAACUACGUG